rnacentral:rRNA from 1 species
CCUACGGGAGGCAGCAGUGGGGAAUAUUGCACAAUGGGGGAAACCCUGAUGCAGCAACGCCGCGUGAAGGAAGACGGUUUUCGGAUUGUAAACUUCUGUUCUUAGUGAAGAAUAAUGACGGUAGCUAAGGAGCUAGCAACGGCUAACUACGUCCGAGCAGCCGCGGUAAUACGUAGGUGGCAAGCGUUGUCCGGAAGUACUGGGAGUAAAGGGAGCUGAGGCGGGAUGUUAAGUCAGGUGUGAAAAUUUACGGCUGAACUUGUAGAUUGCAGUUGAAACUGUGAGUCUUGAGGGAAGUUGAGGUAGGCGGAAGUCGUGUUGUAGAGGUGAAAUGAUUAGAUAUCACGAGGAACUCCGAUUGCGAAGGCAGCCUACUAAAAUGCCACUGACAUUGAUGCUCGAAAGUGUGGGGAUCAAACAGGAUUAGAUACCCUUGUAGUC